UUAAAUGUUUUCAAAAUCAUGAUGAGCUAUCCCAAAUUUCAUGCAAAGGAAUACGUAUGCUAUGCUGAUAUUAUUUUACUUCCUUGUCGGAGAAGAAGUAGUAUAAAGCGGAGAUGGCUUCUGACCUCCAAUCAUCACUCAAACUAUUUCAAACACUACAUACUAAAAGCCUCUUUCACGAGCAAGUUUCCAAGCAAGCACCAAAGUUUGGAAGCAUACGAGGUGAACUUUUCUAUCCUACAUACAAAUGUGUGGAUAAAAAUAUGAAGUAUAUUUGAGAUUAUUUAUUUAUGCAGAUGAUGUUGUCUUGCCAU